rnacentral:rRNA from 1 species
UCUGCGGCGGACGGGUGAGUAAUGCCUAGGAAUCUGCCUAGUAGUGGGGGACAACGUUUCGAAAGGAACGCUAAUACCGCAUACGUCCUACGGGAGAAAGUGGGGGAUCUUCGGACCUCACGCUAUUAGAUGAGCCUAGGUCGGAUUAGCUAGUUGGUAGGGUAAAGGCCUACCAAGGCGACGAUCCGUAACUGGUCUGAGAGGAUGAUCAGUCACACUGGAACUGAGACACGGUCCAGACUCCUACGGGAGGCAGCAGUGGGGAAUAUUGGACAAUGGGCGAAAGCCUGAUCCAGCCAUGCCGCGUGUGUGAAGAAGGCCCUCGGGUCGUAAAGCACUUUAAGUUGGGAGGAAGGGCUCGUAGCGAAUACCUGUGAGUUUUGACGUUACCAACAGAAUAAGCACCGGCUAACUUCGUGCCAGCAGCCGCGGUAAUACGAAGGGUGCAAGCGUUAAUCGGAAUUACUGGGCGUAAAGCGCGCGUAGGUGGCUUGAUAAGUUGGAUGUGAAAUCCCCGGGCUCAACCUGGGAACUGCAUCCAAAACUGUCUGGCUAGAGUGCGGUAGAGGGUAGUGGAAUUUCCAGUGUAGCGGUGAAAUGCGUAGAUAUUGGAAGGAACACCAGUGGCGAAGGCGACUACCUGGACUGACACUGACACUGAGGUGCGAAAGCGUGGGGAGCAAACAGGAUUAGAUACCCU